GACGAACGCUGGCGGCGUGCUUAACACAUGCAAGUCGAACGGAAAGGCCUAGCUUGCUGGGUACUCGAGUGGCGAACGGGUGAGUAACACGUGGGUGAUCUGCCCCUGACUUUGGGAUAAGCCUGUGAAACUGGGUCUAAUACCGGAUAUUCAUUUUUCCUCGCAUGGGGAUUUGUUGAAAGCUUUUGCGGUUGGGGAUGGGCCCGCGGCCUAUCAGCUUGUUGGUGGGGUAAUGGCCUACCAAGGCGACGACGGGUAGCCGACCUGAGAGGGUGAUCGGCCACACUGGGACUGAGACACGGCCCAGACUCCUACGGGAGGCAGCAGUGGGGAAUAUUGCACAAUGGGCGCAAGCCUGAUGCAGCGACGCCGCGUGAGGGAUGACGGCCUUCGGGUUGUAAACCUCUUUCAGCUCCGACGAAGCGGAAGUGACGGUAGGAGCAGAAGAAGCACCGGCCAACUACGUG
rnacentral:rRNA from 1 species